rnacentral:rRNA from 1 species
UACGUAGGGGGCAAGCGUUGUCCGGAAUUAUUGGGCGUAAAGCGCGUGCAGGCGGCCUGUUCAGUCGGAUGUGAAAGACCACGGCUCAACCGUGGGGUGGCAUCCGAAACUGGCGGGCUUGAGUACAGGAGAGGAGAGUGGAAUUCCCAGUGUAGCGGUGGAAUGCGUAGAGAUCGGGAGGAACACCAGUGGCGAAGGCGGCUCUCUGGCCUGUAACUGACGCUGAGGCGCGAAAGCGUGGGGAGCAAACAGG